rnacentral:rRNA from 1 species
AGGGUUUGAUCAUGGCUCAGGAUGAACGCUGGCGGCGUGCUUAACACAUGCAAGUCGAACGGAGCUAUGACACGGAGUCUUCGGAUGAAGUGCUAUUGCUUAGUGGCGGACGGGUGAGUAACACGUGAGCAACCUACCUUUUGCAGGGGAAUAACUCUGGGAAACCAGAGCUAAUACCGCAUGCCGUGCGCUUGGGGCAUCCCAGGUGCAUGAGAGGAGCAAUCCGGCAGAAGAUGGGCUCGCGUCCGAUUAGGUAGUUGGAGAGGUAAUGGCUCCCCAAGCCGACGAUCGGUAGCCGGACUGAGAGGUCGAUCGGCCACAUUGGGACUGAGACACGGCCCAGACUCCUACGGGAGGCAGCAGUGGGGAAUAUUGGGCAAUGGGCGGAAGCCUGACCCAGCGACGCCGCGUGAAGGAUGAGGGCCUUCGGGUUGUAAACCUCUUUCGCUGGGUUGAAAGGCCAUGCUUUGGGUGUGGUUGAUUUGAACUGGUAAAGAAGUACCGGCUAACUACGUGCCAGCAGCCGCGGUAAUUC